CCUACGGGGGGCAGCAGUGGGGGAUAUUGCACAAUGGAGGAAACUCUGAUGCAGCGACGCCGCGUGAGGGAAGACGGUCUUCGGAUUGUAAACCUCUGUCUAUGGGGAAGAAAAUGACGGUACCCAAAGAGGAAGCUCCGGCUAACUACGUGCCAGCAGCCGCGGUAAUACGGAGGGAGCGGUCGUUGUCCGGAAUUACUGGGUAUAAAGGGAGCGUAGGCGGGCGAGAAAGUUGAAUGUUAAAUCUACCGGCUAAACUGGUAGGUGCGUUUGAAACCUCUUGUCUUGAGUGAAGUAGAGGCAGGCGGAAUUCCUGGUGUAGCGGUGAAAUGCGUAGAUAUUAGGAGGAACACCAGUGGCGAAGGCGGCCUGCUGGGCUUUAACUGACGCUGAGGCUCGAAAGCGUGGGGAGCAAACAGGAUUAGAUACCCUUGUAGUC
rnacentral:rRNA from 1 species